UCCUUGACCUCUUCUCCCCCCCACCACUCCUCUCCGUAUGGAUUCUCUCCGACUCCCGCGACGACAAGGUCGACUCCUUCACCCACGACAUGUCUUUCUGGCCCCUCGACCGCCGCCAAUCCCUCGCCGACCAGGUCCUCAAGAACGACUACAAGAACCGCUUCCACUGCAACCGCAAGUUCACCUCCCACCCCAAACUCAGCCUCCACAAGGCCCACUGCGACCCCGGUCCUUGAUUAAAACAUGCGGUCGUGGUUUUAUCUCCCUCCCUCUGAAGUGAAACAUUAUCGACAACAAGAAUUGACAAGAAGCCAUGUCUAAUGCACGAAAGGAAGCCAAUGAUAGGAUCUCUUUCUAUCCUUGGAUACAUUGAAGAAACAUGCAAAGGGUUCCCUCUACUAACAUAAGGAUCCAUAUAAAGACAGCCCAUGUGCGAUUGUUUUCGAAAGUCAUUCACAGGAUGGUGUGUAUAGACUUAUAACUAUAACUUAUUUUAGUUUCUUCCUAAUUCUUUGGUAUUUAGUUUCAUAUUUUAUGUUAUUAAUUUAUUUGAAAUUGCACUGGUAUAACUUCAUUUUUUUUUGCAAACCAAUGAUUACUGCUUCUGCAAUGAAGUGAAAAUGUUUUACAUUUUCGCUCUUUACUCUAAAUUGUUUUUGUAAACCCACUAAUUUUGAAGCUCCUCUUGUUAAACUAAAGCAGCUUAAAUCCCCCAUGUUUUUUCGCGUCCACUCUCCAUAGGCUAAAAUCAUGCUAUCACAAGCAAAAUUGUUAAUUGUGGUGAAGGAACUUGCAAUAGAAGGUAGACAAGCCCCCACUCUUCCUUGAGUAUUAAUGUUAUCCUAGAUGGACUCGGCUCAAGGUCAAGACCAGUGGAUCCUCAAUCCAUGUCAUAUUUAAAUUGAAUACAAUCCGGAAAUAAUAACUGGGUUGCAAAGAUGUUGUAGAGGAGUUGGAUUUUCUUCGAUUUGAUCGUAUCAAUGAUGAUAACAAGACAAGAGAGUUGGUGGAUGCUUGAGACCAAAUGGGUUCGGCAACUUGGAGAUCUGAGAAGAGGUCAAUACCAUUCCUCUACUCUCAUCUAAAUCCAAUCCAUCAACCAUGCAUAUGCCCCUUCCCUCGAUAGGGGAAGAUGAAAUGGGAACAAUGAUUGAUUUGUAAGGAAAGGUGUCAGAGUAGGUGAGGGAUAGGAAAGGAGGGUAUGGGAUUGAAAUCCAUUUGAGAGAGAAUGCAGGCCAUAAAAGGGGAAGAGAGCAAGUCAUUGAGCACAAGUUCCUUCUCUUGAGCAGCAACAAGACCAAGAACCAUCAGGGAAUUAUUUACUAUUAUAGAGAAGGUAUAAGAUAUUUUAUAGACUUUUUGAAAAUUGGAUUCGGUUCUAAUGUUAACAUGCAAAAGCUAUGAUCACAUUUUAAAAUUUUCUCAGCGCGCUACAAUUUGACUCCGACCGAAAUCAUAUAAAGAUUGUUUCUUGCUUUCUUUCA